AGGGUUUGAUUAUGGCUCAGGAUGAACGCUGGCGGUAUGCCUAACACAUGCAAGUCGUACGAGAGUUUUUAACUCUAGUGGCGGACGGGUGAGUAACACGUGAGAAUUUGCCUUUAGGAGGGGGAUAACAGUUGGAAACGACUGCUAAUACCCCAUAUGCUUUCGAGUGAAAUGGAUUUAUAUUAUCCGCCUAGAGAGAAGCUCGCGGCUGAUUAGCUUGUUGGUAAGGUAAGAGCUUACCAAGGCGACGAUCAGUAUCUGGUUUGAGAGGACGAUCAGACACACUGGAACUGAGACACGGUCCAGACUCCUACGGGAGGCAGCAGUGGGGAAUUUUCCGCAAUGGGCGAAAGCCUGACGGAGCAAUACCGCGUGAGGGAAGACUGCCUAUGGGUUGUAAACCUCUUUUUUCAGGGAGGAAUAAAAUGACGUGUACCUGAAGAAUAAGCAUCGGCUAACUCCGUGCCAGCC
rnacentral:rRNA from 1 species